rnacentral:misc_RNA from 1 species
UACGGAGGGGGCUAGCGUUGUUCGGAAUUACUGGGCGUAAAGCGCGCGUAGGCGGCUUGUCAAGUUGGGGGUGAAAUCCCGGGGCUUAACUCCGGAACUGCCUUCAAGACUGGCAGGCUUGAGGCCGAGAGAGGUAAGGGGAAUUCCGAGUGUAGAGGUGAAAUUCGUAGAUAUUCGGAAGAACACCAGUGGCGAAGGCGCCUUACUGGCUCGGACCUGACGCUGAGGUGCGAAAGCGUGGGGAGCAAACAGG